GUGCUUUCCUUGACGGAGAGCUUGAAAAUGAUAAUAUUUAUAUGUAUAAAUCUUCAGGGUAAAUUUCAAGUAUCCAUUCAGAUUACAUGUGCAAACUCAAGAAGACGCUUUAUGGAUUAAAACAGGCUCCUCGAGCAUGAUAUGGUAUGGCUGUUUAUGAACAAAAGUCUCGGGCUUAUCUUUCUUCGCAUACUUGAAGACGGCAUAAGAGCAUAGAAGGCGGCGUCUUUGGCUUUUUUCCACUCUGGAUUUGAAACUUUAUCUUGGUCUGCCACUCCAUGCGAGGCAUAUCAAGUUGACUUUUAAGCAUAUUAUAAUGUUAAUCACAGAUUGGAAGAUUUGUUGGUUUCCAUCCUUUGUUUGUGAUGAGAUGGAUAGGAUUUCAACUUUCCUAAACAGUAUGGAGGUAAAAUGGCUAGAUGUAGUAAUAUCGUAAUGCUCGGUAAUCUAGCCUGGAAGCUCUUACAAGGUGAUGCUUUGCCUUGGAUUGUAAGUGUGACAGAAGUAUAUCAUAGGUUCUAAUAAACUGUCCUGUCUCUUCCUUGUUCUUCUUCUCCGGUUUGGAAAGCUAUACACAAAGCUUCGACUUA